AUUCCAGCUCCAAUAGCGUAUACUAAAGUUGUUGCAGUUAAAAAGCUCGUAGUUGAAUUUCUGGUCUUGGACAGCGGUCUGCCUCAAACGAGGUACGCACCAUCUAUCCGAGUCCAUCCUCGGGGAAAACAUGUCUGUGAUUCAGUUCAUGGGCAUGGGAUCCUCGACAUUUACUGUGAGCAAAAUAGAGUGUUCAAAGCAGGCUUAUGCCGUUGAAUAUUUUAGCAUGGAAUAAUAAGAUAAGACCUUGGUCUAUUUUGUUGGUUUGUACUCCAAGGUAAUGAUUAAUAGGGACAGUUGGGGGUAUUCGUAUUCAAUUGUCAGAGGUGAAAUUCUUGGAUUUAUUGAAGACGAACUACUGCGAAAGCAUUUACCAAGGAUGUUUUCAUCG
rnacentral:rRNA from 1 species